rnacentral:rRNA from 1 species
GAUGAACGCUGGCGGCGUGCUUAACACAUGCAAGUCGAACGAAGCACUCUAUUUGAUUUUCUUCGGAAAUGAAGAUUUUGUGACUGAGUGGCGGACGGGUGAGUAACGCGUGGGUAACCUGCCUCAUACAGGGGGAUAACAGUUGGAAACGACUGCUAAUACCGCAUAAGCGCACAGGAUCGCAUGAUCCGGUGUGAAAAACUCCGGUGGUAUGAGAUGGACCCGCGUCUGAUUAGCUAGUUGGCAGGGUAACGGCCUACCAAAGCGACGAUCAGUAGCCGACCUGAGAGGGUGACCGGCCACAUUGGGACUGAGACACGGCCCAAACUCCUACGGGAGGCAGCAGUGGGGAAUAUUGCACAAUGGGGGAAACCCUGAUGCAGCGACGCCGCGUGAGCGAAGAAGUAUUUCGGUAUGUAAAGCUCUAUCAGCAGGGAAGAAGAAUGACGGUAC